UACGGGGGGAGCAAGCGUUGUUCGGAUUUACUGGGCGUAAAGCGCGUGUAGGCGGAAGCGAAAGUCCGGUGUGAAAGCCCCCCGCUCAACGGGGGAAGGUCGCUGGAAACUGCGCUUCUUGAGGGCGGCAGAGGGAAGUGGAAUUGCUGGUGUAGCGGUGAAAUGCGUAGAGAUCAGCAGGAACACCCGUGGCGAAGGCGGCUUCCUGGGCCGCGCCUGACGCUGAGACGCGAAAGCGUGGGGAGCGAACGGG
rnacentral:rRNA from 1 species